rnacentral:rRNA from 1 species
UACAGAGGUCUCAAGCGUUGUUCGGAUUCAUUGGGCGUAAAGGGUGCGUAGGUGGCGCUGUAAGUCGGGUGUGAAAUUUCGGAGCUUAACUCCGAAACUGCAUUCGAUACUGCGGUGCUUGAGGACUGGAGAGGAGACUGGAAUUCAUGGUGUAGCAGUGAAAUGCGUAGAGAUCAUGAGGAAGACCGGUGGCGAAGGCGGCGUCCUGGACCAACACUGACACUGAGGAGCGAAAGCCAGGGGAGCAAACGGG